AUUGAACGCUGGCGGCAGGCCUAACACAUGCAAGUCGAGCGAGAGGCGGACGGGGGAGUAAUGUAUGGGGACUGCCCGAUAGAGGGGGAUAACAACAGGAAAAGGUAGCUAAUACCGCAUACUAUCGGAUAACCCAUAUGGGAUUAGCUAGUAGGUGAGGGAAUGGCUCACCUAGGCGACGAUCCCUAGCUGGUCUGAGAGGAUGAUCAGCCACACUGGAACUGAGACACGGCCCAUACUCCUACGGAGGCAGCAGUGGGGAAUAUUGCACAAUGGGCGCAAGCCUGAUGCAGCCAUGCCGCGUGUAUGAAGAAGGCCCUGGGGUUGUAAAGUACUUUCAUUCGGGAGGCGUUACCGGCAGAAGAAGCACCGGCUAACUCCGUGCCAGCCGCCGCGGUAAUUC
rnacentral:rRNA from 1 species